GAUGAACGCUGGCGGCGUGCCUAAUACAUGCAAGUCGAGCGAACAGACGAGGAGCUUGCUCCUCUGACGUUAGCGGCGGACGGGUGAGUAACACGUGGAUAACCUACCUAUACGACUGGGAUAACUUCGGGAAACCGGAGCUAAUACCGGAUAAUAUAUUGAACCGCAUGGUUCAAUAGUGAAAGACGGUUUUGCUGUCACUUAUAGAUGGAUCCACGCCGCAUUAGCUAGUUGGUAAGGAAACGGCUUACAAUGGCAACGAUACGUAGCCGACCUGAGAGGGUGAUCGGCCACACUGUAAAUAGGACACGGUCCAGACUCCUACGGGAGGCAGCAGUAGGGAAUCUUCCGCAAUGGGCGAAAGCCUGACGGUGCAACGCCGCGUGAGUGAUGAAGGUCUUCGGAUCGUAAAACUCUGUUAUUAGGGAAGAACAAAUGUGUAAGUAACUAUGCACGUCUUGACGGUACCUAAUCAGAAAGCCACGGCUAACUACGUG
rnacentral:rRNA from 1 species